UGUUGUAUCUGGUUCAACAAAUAAUGAUGCAAACAUGAUUUUAAAACUGUAUAACUCAGCAGAGUGGCAGAUAUGAAUACAUGUAGUAAGAAAUGGGGAAAAUACAGCAGAAAUUAAGAAGGCGUGCCGGAAAAGAAAGAAUGUUAAUACGAUCCAUUAUUUCUUGAAGAUGACAGGAAAAUGGGCAGGGAAAGUACGGUUCCUGCUCAACUUUUGACGGAGAGGAAACGGAUAGCUCGUCGGGGAAAAAACCAAAAUGUAUUGUAAAUAUACAGAAAAAGAUGAUAAUGAUACGCUACUGACUUUUCUACUCUUUGUUCGUUAAUUUUUAUUUGUGUUCAGGUUCAUGUUAUUGUUCAUGAUUGAAAAUAUGUAAAUUAACUCUCAUUUCUAUGGUAAUA